rnacentral:rRNA from 1 species
UACGGAGGGUGCAAGCGUUGCUCGGAAUUACUGGGCGUAAAGAGCUCGUAGGUGGUUUGUCGCGUUGUUCGUGAAAUUCCCUGGCUUAACUGGGGGCGUGCGGGCGAUACGGGCAGACUGGAGUACUGCAGGGGAGACUGGAAUUCCUGGUGUAGCGGUGGAAUGCGCAGAUAUCAGGAGGAACACCGGUGGCGAAGGCGGGUCUCUGGGCAGUAACUGACGCUGAGGAGCGAAAGCGUGGGGAGCGAACAGG